rnacentral:rRNA from 1 species
AUACGGAGGGUGCAAACGUUGUUCGGAAUUACUGGGCGUAAAGCGCGCGUAGGCGGUUUGUUAAGUCAGAUGUGAAAGCCCAAGGCUCAACCUUGGACGUGCAUUUGAAACUGGCAGACUUGAGUACUGGAGGGGAUGGUGGAAUUCCCGGUGUAGAGGUGAAAUUCGUAGAUAUCGGGAGGAAUACCGGUGGCGAAGGCGACCAUCGGCCAGAUACUGACGCUGAGGUGCGAAAGCAUGGGGAGCAAACAGGAUUAGAAACCCUAGUAGUCC